rnacentral:rRNA from 1 species
GAUGAACGCUGGCGGCGUGCCUAAUACAUGCAAGUCGAGCGAACGGACGAUAAGCUUGCUUCUCUGAUGUUAGCGACUGACGGGUGAGUAACACGUGGAUAACCUACCUAUAAGACUGGGAUAACUUCGGGAAACCGGAGCUAAUACCGGAUAAUAUUUUGAACCGCAUGGUUCAAGAGUGAAAGACGGUCUUGCUGUCACUUAUAGAUGGAUCCGCGCUGCAUUAGCUAGUUGGUAAGGUAACGGCUUACCAAGGCAACGAUGCAUAGCCGACCUGAGAGGGUGAUCGGCCACACUGGAACUGAGACACGGUCCAGACUCCUACGGGAGGCAGCAGUAGGGAAUCUUGCGCAAUGGGCGAAAGCCUGACGGAGCAACGCCGCGUGAGUGAUGAAGGUCUUCGGAUCGUAAAACUCUGUUAUUAGGGAAGAACAGAUGUGUAAGUAACUGUGCACAUCUUGACGGUACCUAAUCAGAAAGCCACGGCUAACUACGUG